rnacentral:rRNA from 1 species
CAAUAGCGUAUAUUAAAGUUGUUGCGGUUAAAAAGCUCGUAGUUGGAGUUCUGCCAGGUGCCGCCUGUCCGCCCCAGUGGUGAGUACGUGGCGCGCAUUUGGCCCUUUCAAGGGGAGCGCAUCUGCACUUUAUUGUGUGGUGCGGGAUCCUUGACUUUUACUUUGAGGAAAUAGGAGUGUUCCAAGCAGGCUCUCGUCGUGCACAGCUCAGCAUGGAAUAAUAGCAUUGGACCUCGAUUCUAAGCUGUUGGUUGCCAGAAGCGAGGUAAUGAUGAAGAGGGAUAGUUGGGGGCAUUCGUAUUUAACUGUCAGAGGUGGAAUUCUUGGAUUUGUUAAAGACGGACUACUGCGAAAGCAUCUGCCAUGGAUGUUUUCAUUGA